rnacentral:lncRNA from 1 species
AUUUGUUUAUUCCUGCACAGAGUAAAACUAUAUUAAAUGUGAAUCCCACAUAAAAAUAAAAUAAACAAUAUAAAUAAUAAAAUAUAUAAAUACAAAAGAGCAGAUAAAGAAUUGAGAGAAUUGCACACAGUAUGUAAAAUGCUGAAAUGCAGUAGUUGUACAGACAAUAAGGUGAUAAUGUAAGUCUAAUAUACAAUAAUAUAUUUAUUAACAUGAUACUGUAUAAUAUACAGUAUGUAUAAGGGAGCUUAAGUGAAUCAUACUGCAGCCACAGCGAGGAGCGAGGCGCCGUAUGAAAAACAGGAUUCGGUAUUUGGUUUUGGGCCUUCUGCCAAAUAAUCUCCAAAUUUAGUUUGUUUUGUAUUUUAUUUCGAUGCUUGAUAUCAGUUCUAGCAGCUGUGCUGAACUGCACUGGAUGAUUUAUUUAUUAUUAGUAUUGUUUAAUUCAAUAUUUUCAGUUGAUAAUUUCUCCUUCCCUCCACAGGACACUGAUUGCCCCUGUGCUGAUUGCUUUAGUGGGUGUGGCUCUUUCUGCACCAGUAAACGGAACUAAAGAUGGACGAGACUCAGCAGAGAGAGCAGAAGUUUCAGGCCCAGUCAACCCCUCGACCGAUACCACAGACAAACCAGGUAAGAUCCAGAGAGAACCAGAACCCUGAACACAUCACAAAAUCACAAACACCGUAACUAAAAAAACACCAUAACUAAAGAAACACAGUAACUAAACACCAUAACUAAAGAAACACCGCAACUAAAAAAACACCAUAACUAAAGAAACACCGUAACUAAACACCAUAACUAAAGAAACACCGUAACUAAACACCAUAACUAAAGAAACACCGUAACUAAACACCAUAACUAAAGAAACACAGCAACUAAAGAAACACCGUAACUAAACACCAUAACUAAAGAAACACAG